rnacentral:rRNA from 1 species
GGACUCGCACAAGCGGUGGAGCAUGCGGUUUAAUUCGAUGCAACGCGAAGAACCUUACCAGGUCUUGACAUCCCGCUGACAGCCCUAGAGAUAGGGUCUUCCUUCGGGACAGCGGAGACAGGUGGUGCAUGGUUGUCGUCAGCUCGUGUCGUGAGAUGUUGGGUUAAGUCCCGCAACGAGCGCAACCCUUAUCAUUAGUUGCUACCAUUAAGUUGAGCACUCUAAUGAGACCGCCGGUGACAAACCGGAUGAAGGUGGGGAUGACGUCAAAUCAUCAUGCCCCUUAUGACCUGGGCUACACGCGUGCUACAAUGGCCAGUACAAAGAGUCGCAAAGCCGUGAGGUGGAGCUAAUCUCAUAAAGCUGGUCUCAGUUCGGAUUGUAGUCUGCAACUCGACUACAUGAAGUUGGAAUCGCUAGUAAUCGCAAAUCAGCAUGUUGCGGUGAAUACGUUCUCGAGUCUU